UGAGGGAAGGGAGGGGCGGAAGUCGGCCGGGGUCUGCAAGCCUGUGGCCGGGCGCGGUGGACGUGCCGGGAUGCUCAGCUUGGCCCCCACUCUCAGUGCAGGCGACGCAGUUGCCUUCUCCUCAGCUAGAGAGGGGGGACGCUCCUUUCUCGCUCCCCCAUCCUCUCCCCCGGCGCCCCUCCCGGUAGGCGCCAGAGUCCGGAGGCCCGGAGGCCCGGACGCCUAGGCUAGAUGGCGGUGAGGCGGGCUCUGGGGCCUCCCCAGGCCAGGCCGAAUUUAUUCUGCGCAGGCCCCAGCUAGGGGAAGAGGGACCCCAAAUCAGACAGACGCUUUCCUUCCCCCCACUCACGCCUUACUUAGUCCCUGCCCAAAUUGCGCGUCUCCGGUAGGACUGACUAUCUGCCCGGCCUCUCUCUGCUGCCAACCUUGCCCGAAACCUAGACCCCAGACCUGCUCCCAUCAUACGCCAUGACAGUUCCAGAGGAACCAAAUAAGGAAGAGAAAGCAGAAAACUGAGGAUCCCACCUACUGGGAAGAAACUGAUGAGUCACAUCAAUGGGACGUCACCAAUUCCUGGCCCCUGGAGGAACAUUAUAUUGCUGUACAAUGUGUCUUUUGAUGGAAGAGGACCAGAUGUCUAGCCUAGAAUAGAUAGGGGUUAAAGAGUCUGGUUUCUGGAUCCAAGUCCCUGAAUUCAAAUCCUGGCUCUAUCACUUACUAGGUAUGUCUCAAUUUAUUUCACUCUAAUUUUGGAAUAAUAGCACAUAUUCAAUGGGUUAUCGUAAAGAAUAAUUGAGAUAAUCCUUGCUUAGGAUAUAGAACUUAGUAUAUUUGAGUUAUUAGCACUACUCCAAUUUCUUUUAAUA